rnacentral:rRNA from 1 species
GAUGAACGCUGGCGGCGUGCUUAACACAUGCAAGUCGAACGAUGAAAGCGGGAGCUUGCUCCUGCUGGAUUAGUGGCGAACGGGUGAGUAACACGUGAGUAACCUGCCCUUGACUCUGGGAUAAGCGUUGGAAACGACGUCUAAUACCGGAUACGACCUUCGGAGGCAUCUCCUGGGGGUGGAAAGAAUUCGGUCAAGGAUGGACUCGCGGCCUAUCAGCUAGUUGGUGAGGUAAUGGCUCACCAAGGCGACGACGGUAGCCGGCCUGAGAGGGUGACCGGCCACACUGGGACUGAGACACGGCCCAGACUCCUACGGGAGGCAGCAGUGGGGAAUAUUGCACAAUGGGCGCAAGCCUGAUGCAGCAACGCCGCGUGAGGGACGACGGCCUUCGGGUUGUAAACC